rnacentral:rRNA from 1 species
UGGGGAAUAUUGCACAAUGGAGGGAACUCUGAUGCAGCGACGCCGCGUGAACGAAGAAGGCUUUCGAGUCGUAAAGUUCUUUUAUAUGGGAAGAUAAUGACGGUACCAUAAGAAAAAGCCCCGGCUAACUACGUGCCAGCAGCCGCGGUAAUACGUAGGGGGCUAGCGUUGUCCGGAAUCACUGGGCGUAAAGGGUUCGCAGGCGGAAAUACAAGUCAGGUGUAAAAGGCAGUAGCUUAACUACUGUAAGCAUUUGAAACUGCAUAUCUUGAGAAGAGUAGAGGUAAGUGGAAUUUUUAGGGUAGCGGUGAAAUGCGUAGAUAUUAAAAAGAAUACCGGUGGCGAAGGCGACUUACUGGGCUCAUUCUGACGCUGAGGAACGAAAGCGUGGGUAGCAAACAGG